AUACGGAGGGUGCAAGCGUUACUCGGAAUCACUGGGCGUAAAGCGCGCGCAGGCGGCCAUUUAAGUUGGAUGUGAAAGCCUACGGCUCAACCGUAGAACUGCAUCCAAAACUAUUUGGCUAGAGUGUGGGAGAGGAAGAUGGAAUUAGAUGUGUAGGGGUAAAAUCCGUAGAGAUAACUAGGAGUACCAAAAGCGAAGGCAAUCUUCUGGAACACUCCUGACGCUGAGGCGCGAAAGCGUGGGGAGCAAACGGGAUUAGAAACCCUAGUAGUCC
rnacentral:rRNA from 1 species